rnacentral:rRNA from 1 species
UACGAAGGGGGCUAGCGUUGUUCGGAAUUACUGGGCGUAAAGCGUAUGCAGGCGGACUUUUAAGUCGGGGGUGAAAUCCCGAGGCUCAACCUCGGAACUGCCUUCGAUACUGGAAGUCUUGAGUCCGGGAGAGGUGAGUGGAACUCCGAGUGUAGAGGUGAAAAUUCGUAGAUAUUCGGAAGAACACCAGUGGCGAAGGCGGCUCACUGGCCCGGUACUGACGCUGAGAUACGAAAGCGUGGGGAGCAAACAGG